rnacentral:rRNA from 1 species
GACGUAGGGGGCCAGCGUUGCUCGGAAUUACUGGGCGUAAAGGGUUCGUAGGCGGUGCGGCAAGUCGGGAGUGAAAUCUCUGGGCUUAACUCAGAGGCUGCUUCCGAAACUGCCGUGCUCGAGUGCGGGAGAGGCGAGUGGAAUUGCAGGUGUAGCGGUGUAAUGCGUAGAGAUCUGCAGGAACACCCGUGGCGAAGGCGGCUCGCUGGACCGUAACUGACGCUGAGGAACGAAAGCUAGGGGAGCAAACAGG